UACGAAGGGGGCGAGCGUUGUUCGGAUUUACUGGGCGUAAAGGGCGCGCAGGCGGCUACAUUUGUCAGGCGUGAAAGCCCCGGGCUUAACCUGGGAACUGCGUUUGAUACGGUGUGGCUAGAGUUCGGGAGAGGAGAGUGGAAUUCCCAGUGUAGAGGUGAAAUUCGUAGAUAUUGGGAAGAACACCGGUGGCGAAGGCGAGUCUCUGGACGACUCCUGACACUGAGGCACGAAAGCUAGGGGAGCAAACAGG
rnacentral:rRNA from 1 species